GGGGGCCCACAAGCCCUGUUGCCUCGGCUAGGGAGGAGGUCGUGGCAACCAAGCUUGUGGCCCCCCUAGCACUCCCCUGCCCUAGGUCUUUGGCCUAUAAAUUUCCUAAAAAAUCCAGAAAAAAUGAAGGCAUCCAUGAAAACACUUUUUCGCCGCCGCAAGCUUCCGUUUCCGCGAGAUGUCAUCUAGAGACCCUUCCCGGUGCCCUGCCGGAGGGGACUUUGGAGUUGGAGGGCUUCUACAUCAACAUCAUCGCCCCUCCAAUGACUCGUGAGUAGUUCACUUCAG
rnacentral:lncRNA from 1 species